AUUGAACGCUGGCGGCAGGCCUAAUACAUGCAAGUCGAACGAGUGGCGGACGGGUGAGUAAUGUCUGGGAAACUGCCUGAUGGAGGGGGAUAACUACUGGAAACGGUAGCUAAUACCGCAUACCAUCGGAUGUGCCCAGAUGGGAUUAGCUAGUAGGUGGGGUAAAGGCUCACCUAGGCGACGAUCCCUAGCUGAUCUGAGAGGAUGACAAGCAACAAUGGAACUGAGACACAGUACAGACUCCAACGGGAGGCAGCAGUGGGGAAUAUUGCACAAUGGGCUCAAGCCUGAUGCAGCCAUGCCGCGUAUAUGAAGAAGGCCUUCGGGUUGUAAAGUACUUUCAAUGGGGAGGCGUUACCCGCGGAAGAAGCCCCGGCUAACUACGAGCCAGCAGCCGCGGUAAUAC
rnacentral:rRNA from 1 species